rnacentral:rRNA from 1 species
AGGGCGAGACCUGGACCAGCCACGCCGCGGUGCAGGAAGAAGGCCCUACGGGUUUGUAAACUGCUUUUAUACGGGAAGAAGGUCCCUCUUGCGAGGGGGAGUGACGGUACCGUAGGAAUAAGCAUCGGCUAACUCCGUGCCAGCAGCCGCGGUAAUACGAAA